AUCGAAAUAGCUCAGUUGGGAGAGCGUUAGUCUAUAGAUCGAGAGUCCCUGGUUCGAUCCCGGGAUUCGGCA
rnacentral:tRNA from 1 species